rnacentral:tRNA from 1 species
UAGUGACUUUAAUUAAAAAUUUGAAUUUUAAUUUGAUAGUAUCUAUCCUCACUAA